AUGAACACUGGCGGCGUGCCUAAUACAUGCAAGUCGAGCGAACGGACGAGAAGCUUGCUUCUCUGAUGUUAGCGGCGGACGGGUGAGUAACACGUGGAUAACCUACCUAUAAGACUGGGAUAACUUCGGGAAACCGGAGCUAAUACCGGAUAAUAUUUUGAACCGCAUGGUUCAAAAGUGAAAGACGGUCUUGCUGUCACUUAUAGAUGGAUCCGCGCUGCAUUAGCUAGUUGGUAAGGUAACGGCUUACCAAGGCAACGAUGCAUAGCCGACCUGAGAGGGUGAUCGGCCACACUGGAACUGAGACACGGUCCAGACUCCUACGGGAGGCAGCAGUAGGGAAUCUUCCGCAAUGGGCGAAAGCCUGACGGAGCAACGCCGCGUGAGUGAUGAAGGUCUUCGGAUCGUAAAACUCUGUUAUUAGGGAAGAACAUAUGUGUAAGUAACUGUGCACAUCUUGACGGUACCUAAUCAGAAAGCCACGGCUAACUACGUG
rnacentral:rRNA from 1 species